GGGGGGGGGGGGGGGGGGGGGGGGGGGGGGGGGGGGGGCGGGGGGGGGCGUGGGGGGGGGGGGGGGGCGAGUGGGGGGCGGGGGGGGAAGACGUGGGUGACCUGCACGUGACUUGGGGAUAACGGCAGGACCGUGGGGCUAAUUCCGGGUGGGAGCUCCGGCUGCAUUGUGGGGGUUGUAAAGUUUAGGCGGUUGGGGAUGGAGUCGCGGCUUCUCGUCUUGUUGGUGUGGUAGUGGCUUACCAAGGCUCUGACGUGUAGCCAGCCUGCGAGUGUGACCGGCCAUAUUGGGACUGGGAUAAGGCCCAGACGCCUACGGGAGGCAGCAGUGGGGAAUAUUGCACAAGGGGCGGAAGCCUGAUGCAGCAACGCCGCGUGCGGGAUGACGGCCUUCGGGUUGUAACCCGCUUUCGCCUGUGACGAAGCGUGAGUGACGGUAAUGGGUAAAGAAGCAACGGCUAACUACGUG
rnacentral:rRNA from 1 species